GCCCGCACAAGCGGUGGAGCAUGUGGUUUAAUUCGACGCAACGCGAAGAACCUUACCAGGGCUUGACAUGCCGGUGGUACUGAGCCGAAAGGUGAGGGACCCUUAGGCGAUGAGUUUAAGGGAGCCGGCACAGGUGGUGCAUGGUUGUCGUCAGCUCGUGUCGUGAGAUGUUGGGUUAAGUCCCGCAACGAGCGCAACCCCUGCCCCUAGUUGCCAGCGGGUGGAGCCGGGCACUCUAGGGGGACUGCCGUUGACGAAACGGAGGAAGGUGGGGAUGACGUCAAAUCAUCAUUCCCUUUAUGCCCUGGGCUACACACGUGCUACAAUGGCCGGUACAGAGGGUUGCGAACCCGUGAGGGGGAGCGAAUCCCAGAAAGUCGGUCUCAGUUCGGAUUGCAGGUUGCAACUCGCCUGCAUGAAGGCGGAAUCGCUAGUAAUCGCCGGUCAGCAUACGGCGGUGAAUACGUUCCCGGGCCUUGUACACACCGCCCGUCACACCACGAAAGCCGACAACACCCGAAGCCGGUGGAGCUAACCCCCGUAGAGGUGGGGGCAGCCGUCGAAGGUGGGGUCGGUGAUAGUGUG
rnacentral:rRNA from 1 species